AUCUCUGUGUCGGGCACCGCGGAGCCCUGGGCUGUAAACAGAGGCAGUGGAUGCAGGCUGAGCGGCUCUCUGGGGGACUUCUCCGGUGGUCCGAUCAUAUCACCCAUCCCUGCCCAUAACCUCUCACCAGCCCUGUGACCUCGGGGGAAGCCAGCUCCACAUCUGAGCAUCACCUCUCUUUGAAAACUGAAGGCAUUAGCACCUCUCCCAGAUGUGAAAUAAGAUGAGGAUAUGAAAAUCCUUUGUGAGCUGAAAAGCUUGAAGAGGAAAGAGCCAAGUUCGUGUCCCAAACCAACAGCCCCUCAGCUCUGGUUCCACUAGGACUUCUCAGACCAGGGUCCCCAGGGCCCCAGGGGUUCAGCCAAGUCUUUGAUCACAGCACACACACACACACGCACAGUGCUCGUACCCAGCUCCCUGAGUGUCCCUGGGAAAGGGACAGAUAAAGUGUCUCAACCAACCCUGAGGCGCCCUGCUGCCUUCUGAACCUUCUUUGUCCCUCCCUGGUCUGUGCAGGUCCACCAGACCCCUGCCAGGCAUCCAGAAGAAUCUCUGAGGGUCGAGCAGACCCAGGUCUCGGCCCUUUCACUCAUCUUAUGGGACCUGGAACUCCAAAGCCAGUGCCAGGAAGGCCCCACACAACCUCUGUUACCCUGCACAACCCUGUGAUGAGAUGGAUAAUAGGAAUGGAUUUCUGCCCCAACGAAGCCAAAUUCAUAUGUGACUGAACCCGGAGCUUGCUGGAGCUGGAGAGAAACUCAGAAACCGUCAGGCCCUGUCUUCAAGGGUUGCCAGUCCCGCUGUGGACACGCAGGAGCGGUCAGAUGGUUCAGGGCUGGGGUAAAGAGUGGGGGGACCUAGCAGGAUAGUGGAAAUUCAGGGUGCCUGUCCUAGGCAAUGAUCCCUCCCCCCACCCCCUGUCCAGAAUGAGCUGGGAUGCCCAGCCAGGAGACAGAGGCCCUGGUCGUGGUGCCGCAUGCCAGAAGAGGGUAGUGGGGUGGAGGGGG